rnacentral:rRNA from 1 species
GAUGAACGCUGGCGGCGUGCUUAACACAUGCAAGUCGAACGAAGCACUUUAUUUGAUUUCCUUCGGGACUGAUUAUUUUGUGACUGAGUGGCGGACGGGUGAGUAACGCGUGGGUAACCUGCCUUGUACAGGGGGAUAACAGUUGGAAACGGCUGCUAAUACCGCAUAAGCGCACGGCAUCGCAUGAUGCAGUGUGAAAAACUCCGGUGGUAUAAGAUGGACCCGCGUUGGAUUAGCUAGUUGGUGAGGUAACGGCCCACCAAGGCGGCGAUCCAUAGCCGACCUGAGAGGGUGACCGGCCACAUUGGGACUGAGACACGGCCCAAACUCCUACGGGAGGCAGCAGUGGGGAAUAUUGCACAAUGGGCGAAAGCCUGAUGCAGCGACGCCGCGUGAGCGAAGAAGUAUUUCGGUAUGUAAAGCUCUAUCAGCAGGGAAGAUAAUGACGGUACCUGACUAAGAAGCACCGGCUAAAUACGUG